rnacentral:tRNA from 1 species
ACCCGGAUAGCUCAGUUGGUGGAGCAUCUGCCCGGUAGGCAGAGUGUCGCCGCUUCGGUUCCGGCUCACGGCG